GACAGAGGGUGCGAACGUUGUUCGGAAUUACUGGGCGUAAAGGGCGCGCAGGCGGCCCUUGAAGUCAGGCGUGAAAGCCCCGGGCUCAACCUGGGAGGUGCGCUUGAUACUCGAGGGCUUGAGUGCGGGAGAGGAGAGUGGAAUUCCUAGUGUAGAGGUGAAAUUCGUAGAUAUUAGGAAGAACACCAGUGGCGAAGGCGGCUCACUGGCCCGGUACUGACGCUGAGGCGCGAAAGCGUGGGGAGCAAACAGG
rnacentral:rRNA from 1 species